rnacentral:lncRNA from 1 species
AUUCAUUUUGGUGUGCAUAUAAUGCCCCAAUAAUUUCAUAUUGGGUGAAAAAUUUAUUCUGAUUAGAAUAUAUGAGGCAUAUGGACUAGUAAUAAUAGCUGCUUUAAGUAUUUUGGGCCAAUAGUUUCGGCCCAACGAGUUAUUAUUGCUAGCAGGUCAGAUUGUUACAAUGUAAAAUUUGGCUUUCCAUCAGUUUAACAGCUUAGAUGUCCAAUUCUAUAAUGGA